rnacentral:rRNA from 1 species
AUUGAACGCUGGCGGCAUGCUUUACACAUGCAAGUCGAACGGCAGCGCGGGCUUCGGCCUGGCGGCGAGUGGCGAACGGGUGAGUAAUACAUCGGAACGUGCCCAGUAGUGGGGGAUAGCUCGGCGAAAGCCGGACUAAUACCGCAUACGACCUGAGGGUGAAAGCGGGGGAUCUUCGGACCUCGCGCUAUUGGCGCGGCCGAUGGCAGAUUAGCGAGUUGGUGGGGUAAAGGCCUACCAAGGCGACGAUCUGUAGCUGGUCUGAGAGGACGACCAGCCACACUGGGACUGAGACACGGCCCAGACUCCUCCGGGAGGCAGCAGUGGGGAAUUUUGGCCAAUGGGCGCAAGCCUGAUCCAGCAAUGCCGCGUGUGUGAUGAAGGCCUUCGGGUUGUAAAGCACUUUUGGCGGGAACGAAAAGGACUGUGCCAAUACCACGGUUCGAUGACGGUACCCGCAGAAUAAGCACCGGCUAACUACGUG